UAACAACCUGGAAACAGAUGCUAAUACCGGAUAACAACAGAUGAUGCCUAUCAACUGUUUAAAAGAUGGUUCUGCUAUCACUCUUGGAUGGACCUGCGGUGCAUUAGCUAGUUGGUAGGGUAACGGCCUACCAAGGCGAUGAUGCAUAGCCGAGUUGAGAGACUGAUCGGCCACAUUGGGACUGAGACACGGCCCAAACUCCUACGGGAGGCAGCAGGC
rnacentral:rRNA from 1 species